CAGGUCCAUCUGCUGCCGGCCAAACUUGUGGGUGCGAGCUGGGGGAAAGAAGAUGGCGCUCAAGAACAGUGGGCACACAACACAUACAGGGAGCAAAAAACUCUACAGUGGCAUGCAGCAGCCAAGCACUGUUGGUCCUCAGUGGAAAGCUAGUCUUCCUGCCCACUGCACACCAUCCACUGGCAAACACAUAAUCAAGACAGAUGACUCAUGUCUCCACUGUUCAACUGUGGCUUCUGAAUAAAAUAGAUUACACAGGA